CCUAAUGUUAUUUCGUAAGUAGGAGCGAGCACUAGCGCCCUUAUCCAUUACCAUUAAUGUGAGUAUAGUUGACGAACAGCUGGGAUUACAAGAUUCUUGGUGUUCACCUUCAUGGGGUCUAAAUUGGAACACGCAAAUCCGCACGGAACAGGCUCUAGUUUGCCAUUGAAUCCCUGAUUAUCUCUCGUGUGAGGUAUUGCCUGCCCUUAUUUUUCACAACAUCCGACCUUUCUGAAAACCAAACACAUACUUCUGAAACACAAGAUCAAAUCCAGAAGCGCUCCAUUGAGGUAUUGCGCGAAUAUAUCGGGGUUAACCAAGCAGACAGAGUGUCCAAUCAAGAGCUCCACCAACGUUCAGGUUUUUGUCAAUAAACCAAAUGGCCGCCAACAGUACGACCUUGCUGGAAGUCUGGAAAAACAUUCAUUGGGGAAGCGAAAGGUUGGACGGCUUAUUUCGUUCAAUUGGCGACGUCCCAGUGGAGAAGAACAUUGUGGGCGGGGGAACCCUCCGGCUCUGAGAAAAUCGAAGGUUUUUUUUUAGAAAGGAGACCUUUAUUACUGAAAAAAUGACUCAUUUUUUGUUCAGCAAGCAGCUUCCUUGUGGAACUCCUUACCAUCGGCAACUCCUUCCCUCCAAUCCAUAGGGAAAUUCAAAAGUGCAAUGAUCAGAUGAAUUUAUCCGAACUGUACCCCUGUAAAGCUGUCCUUCUUAAUAAAUUUUUAGUUCCUAUUA